AACGCACGAGACCUGCGGACCUGCGGAGGGAUCAUUAAUGAGAAACUGCCCCUCGCGGGUAGAUCUCCCACCCUUUGUAAACUUACCUUUGUUGCUUUGGCAGGCCCGUCUCCGGACCGCCGGCUUCGGCUGGCCAGUGCCUGCCAGAGGAUUCUAAAACCCUGUCUGUCAGUGUUGUCUGAGUCUAUAUACAAUCGUUAAAACUUUCAACAAUGGAUCUCUAGAUCGGAAGAGCACACG
rnacentral:misc_RNA from 1 species